UAUGUUGCUGGCUGGAGAAGGGUAGUUGAAAACUCAGACCAAGCACAGUGUUUAUUUUGGUCAAAACUAGAAGACUAUGUCCAGGCGCGGCCGAGGCUGGAGGACCCCUUCAGGCCAAGAGCAACCUAGCAAUAUGGUGCGACCGGAUCUCUGUAGUCCUACCUCAGCCCCCCAGCUACUUGAACCCCAAAGUUCGAGGCUCCAAUGAGCUAUGAUCCCACCACAGCAUUGUAGCCUGCCAGACUGAGAAAUGGGGUUUCACCAUGUUGGCAAGGCUGGUCUCGAAUUCCUGACCUCAAGUGAUCCACCCACCUCGGCCUCCCAAAGUGCUGGGAUUACAGGCAUGAGCCACCAUGCCCAGCCCCUUCAGACAAAGUUUCACACUUGUUGUUCAGGCUGGAGUUGCAAUCUCGGCUUACCACUACUUCUGUCUCCCAGAUUCAAGAGAUUCUCCUGCCUCAGCCUCCCAAGUAGCUGGGACUAUAGGUGUUCGUCACCCCACCCAGACAUGAACUUAUGAAUUCAACACAUGAAGACUUACAACUUGAUAAACCAGCUUUAGGAGAUUUUGAAAACUUGUAUUCCUGUGAUUUCGAUAGUGAAGGAAGUAUGGUAUACCAGAAUCACUAAAUUAUGAAAGAUGGUGGAUCAGCUUUUUGCAAAAAAAUCUGCUGAAGCCUUGGGGAGCACUGAAGCCAAGGCUGUACCAUACCAAAAAUUUGAAACACAUGUGAAUGAGCUGAAUGUGGAAGGACUACCGGAAAACAUUCCUUUCAGAAGCCCCCCAUUACAUGGAAUCCCAAGGCUCGAAAACAUCUUUCAAGUGAGCAAUCGAAUUAAGUUUGUUAUU